GUGUCUGUAGCUUAACAGGUAAAGCUCCGCACUCUUAAUGCGGACAAUGGGAGUUCAAGUCUCUUCGGGCAAACAA
rnacentral:tRNA from 3 species